CCUACGGGUGGCAGCAGUGGGGAAUAUUGCGCAAUGGGCGAAAGCCUGACGCAGCGACGCCGCGUGAGGGAUGAAGGUCUUCGGAUCGUAAACCUCUGUCAGCAGGGAAGAACGGUCACUGUGCUAAUCAGCAGUGAAUUGACGGUACCUGCAAAGGAAGCAACGGCUAACUCGGUGCCAGCAGCCGCGGUAUUACGGAGGGUGCGAGCGUUAAUCGGAAGUACUGGGCGUAAAGCGCUCGUAGGCGGUAUGUCAAGUCAAGGGUGAAAUCCCCGCGCUCAACGUGGGACAUGCCUUUGAAACUGGCAAACUGGAGUGUGUGAGAGGAUAGUGGAAUUCCAGGUGUAGGAGUGAAAUCCGUAGAUAUCUGGAGGAACAUCAGUGGCGAAGGCGACUAUCUGGCACAUAACUGACGCUGAGGAGCGAAAGCGUGGGUAGCAAACAGGAUUAGAUACCCGGGUAGUC
rnacentral:rRNA from 1 species